rnacentral:SRP_RNA from 1 species
CCGCCUGGGGGCGGCAGGUCGCGAGUU